rnacentral:rRNA from 1 species
CGAACGCUGGCGGCGUGCUUAACACAUGCAAGUCGAACGGAAAGGCCCUGCUUUUGUGGGGUGUUCGAGUGGCGAACGGGUGAGUAACACGUGAGUAACCUGCCCUUGACUUUGGGAUAACUUCAGGAAACUGGGGCUAAUACCGGAUAGGAGCUCCUGCUGCAUGGUGGGGGUUGGAAAGUUUCGGCGGUUGGGGAUGGACUCGCGGCUUAUCAGCUUGUUGGUGGGGUAGUGGCUUACCAAGGCUUUGACGGGUAGCCGGCCUGAGAGGGUGACCGGCCACAUUGGGACUGAGAUACGGCCCAGACUCCUACGGGAGGCAGCAGUGGGGAAUAUUGCACAAUGGGCGGAAGCCUGAUGCAGCAACGCCGCGUGCGGGAUGACGGCCUUCGGGUUGUAAACCGCUUUCGCCUGUGACGAAGCGUGAGUGACGGUAAUGGGUAAAGAAGCACCGGCUAACUACGUG